rnacentral:lncRNA from 1 species
CAGAAUUUCGACAGUUCCCUCACCUGUUACCAAACCCCAGAGGCUACAGAGUACACAGGGCACGGCAGCUCCGGUGGCAGUCCACUCCAUGAAGAGGGAGGCCUUGACACACAAGAGAAAGAAGUAGUGAAGUCUGAGCAAGGAUCUGCCCCCGGCUCCCUGCACCUGCCUCCUAGAGCUACACAGAUGCCACCCAUCCGUGAAUGUUGAGAGAAGACCUCUGAAGUCCCCAAGCAAAGCACUCCAAAAGCCACAGAGCUGUCUGCGAGUCACAUGGCCAAACCUACUGGAAGCACCCAGGCAAGGUAAAUAGAAGUCACUUUUCUACACUGAACCCGGUGUGGUCCUCCAUUUCUGAACCUCCAGGGGAGCCUCAAAAGCCCUGGGCCACAAGCCUGUGGCUGCUCAUGUUCCCCAGAGGUUGCCAGGCGAGGUUCAGAGUCCCAGCUGCACCCCACUCAGCCACCCUUGGCCGGGUCUCAGAGGCUACCUACCGCUUUCCUCAAAAGGGCUCCCAUCCCAACACAGAGAGCAGUCCCGGGAAGGUGGCCAGGGACUGGGGAGCGGCAUUCUCUCCGGAGUUCGGCAGCCCAGCAGUUAACAGGCUCGGGCUGGGCAAGCAACGAACUGCCACCAACAACCUCGGGAAUUAAAGCGCCCGCUGCCUCCUGCUGAAACCUCUUCAAUAAACGGUCCUAUUCAGAACCA